rnacentral:rRNA from 1 species
AGAGUUUGAUCAUGGCUCAGAACGAACGCUGGCGGCGUGGAUAAGACAUGCAAGUCGAACGGGAUCAGUGAGGUAGCAAUACAUCAUUGGUUCAGUGGCGAACGGGUGCGUAACACGUGGAUACAUUCCGGGAAGCGGGGGAUAGCCCAGGGAAACUUGGAUUAAUACCGCAUGUGAUCGAAAGAUCAAAGACGGGGACCGCAAGGCCUGUCACUUCCCGAUUGGUCCGCGGCCUAUCAGCUAGUUGGCGGGGUAAAAGCCCACCAAGGCGACGACGGGUAGCUGGUCUGAGAGGACGACCAGCCACACUGGAACUGAGACACGGUCCAGACACCUACGGGUGGCAGCAGUCGAGAAUCUUUCACAAUGGGGGAAACCCUGACGGAGCGACGCCGCGUGGAGGAUAAGGUCUUCGGAUUGUAAACUCCUGUCAUGCGUGAACAAGGCAGCCGGGUUAAUAACCUGUGCUGAUUGAUGGUAACGCAAGAGGAAGAGACGGCUAACUCUGUGCCAGCAGCCGCGGUAAU